rnacentral:misc_RNA from 1 species
CAUAUGAGGGGUACCAGCCCACCCCCCCAGCAACCGUUCUCGAUGGGCUUUCAAUAUGGCGAGGUCGUAUAAAAAACCCAAGUUGAGGGGUGCCUUCCCCCUAAUUCCCGCACUUUUCCGCCACUCUCUCGACCAAAACUAAAAAAGUUGACCUUAGCAGGGAGUUAGUAGUGAUUUACAAUCGAGCGGUAGUUCUAUAGGCAAUGUUUCCCCAAGCAGUCAGUGUCGGAAAGUGUCAUUGAUUGUGCAAGGAUAGCGCUUCUACGAUUCCUGUAGACCGUACACUCGGGCAGGAGCUUUGCCAAAGGGUCCCCAUGCCCCCUAAUAACCCCACAGUUUAAUGUGAAGCUCAAUGUAAUACAUUGGGUAAAAAAACCGAACAACUGUUAACAAUGGAUAUCUUGGUUCUC